rnacentral:rRNA from 1 species
GACGAACGCUGGCGGCGUGCCUAAUACAUGCAAGUCGAGCGAAGUUUUUCUGGUUCUUGCACUAGAAAAACUUAGCGGCGAACGGGUGAGUAACACGUAAAGAACCUGCCUCAUAGACUGGGACAACUAUUGGAAACGAUAGCUAAUACCGGAUAACAGUAUUUCUCGCAUGAGAGAUAUUUAAAAGUUGGUUAUGCUAACACUAUGAGAUGGCUUUGCGGUGCAUUAGCUAGUUGGUGGGGUAAAGGCCCACCAAGGCGACGAUGCAUAGCCGACCUGAGAGGGUGAUCGGCCACACUGGGACUGAGACACGGCCCAGACUCCUACGGGAGGCAGCAGUAGGGAAUCUUCCGCAAUGGGCGAAAGCCUGACGGAGCAACGCCGCGUGAGUGAAGAAGGAUUUCGGUUCGUAAAGCUCUGUUGUUAGGGAAGAAUGGAUAUGUAGUAACUAUACAUGUAAGAGACGGUACCUAACCAGAAAGCCACGGCUAACUACGUG